GCUGGGUGUGGUGGCACAUGCCUGUAGUCCCAGCUACUCAGGAGGCUGAGGUAGGAGGAUUGAUUGAGCUCAGGAGGUCAAGGCUGCAGUGAGCCAUGAUGGCACCACUGCACUCCAGCCUGGGUGACAGAGCGAGACCCUGUCUCAC
rnacentral:sRNA from 1 species